rnacentral:lncRNA from 1 species
CCAGUAUUUUAUUACAGUUACAGAAUCACCGAGACAUAGAAUAUACAGAAUCAAUCAAGAAGACAACCAAAUCAAUUAGCAAAAGCAAAAGUUUUUCCAAUCAAUUAAAGUUUACACGCCUUUGCUCCACCAAACUUCCCACCUACUUCAUCAGCUACCCACCACCCUUUGCUCCCCACCAUAUUCGAUUCUUUAAGGCUAUUAUCAGCCCUUUUACUCAUUCCUUAGUUCUUCAACAACCAAAGGAAUGAGAGAUUUCAUUUACUGCUGCCAAACUUCGAACAUGUAAGCUUUGGUUUAAGUUUUUCCACCAGUCCAUUCUUGAUUCCCCUGCAUAUGUCAAUAAGCAUCUGAAAAUUUCAGCUAUCUCCUCAUUAAAUUCAAUGGCAACAAACAGCCACCAACAACAAGCAAUUACAGGUAUAUACUAAGCUCCCUUCAUUCGAAUCCCAUUUGCAUUUCAUCCAACAAGCAUGAUUAAGAAGAAAUAUUGAAUGUAUAGAUGAGUAUAGGUUAUGGACUUAGCAAAGUCACAAGCACAGAAAUCAAUUCAUAUGUAAUUCAAUUUCUUCACAUGAGUCAGACGAUGAGAAUUCUUAUGACAUUAGCAAACCACAGUUCCUAGUUUAAUCUCUAACUUUAUCAAAAUAGGAACACAGAACAGACCCCUUUAACUUCAAACCACACACCAUUGUUUAUAUAAAGACUUAUACAAAGAAGAAGAGGAAGAUAGAACAAAGACUUAGCUUUUAGAAGGGCGGUUGCUCCGUUCGGUCGAAGCUGAGCCGACGAUGGCAACGGCAAAUACUUGCUGCUCCAUCGAACUCCGACAACAGCAGCGGAUCGGCGGGCCUUCACCUGCCGCCGGGAGGAACAGCAACAAUGGUCCAAAGGCAGCAGCGGCGCGGUGAGAGGCGUAGGCCUUCUUACUCCAGUCGCCGGAAAGGAGAGAAUCGCUGGAGGCAGCAAGCUUCUCCCCGCCACUCGCAGAUUGGAGGAAAAACGACGGAAGAGCUCCGCUGAACCGGAACUAGGCGCAGGGACAGCCGACGCCGGCAAGAUCAGAUCUGGCAGAGAAGAGAGAGAGCGGCCGGCACCGCCCGAUUCCACGGCCUGAACAGCGAGACGAACAGCGCUGCUUCCAGGAGGCGACCGCUCGCCGGAUUCCAGACGGAGGUGCGACAGCGGCGAUGAUUUCCAGAAUCAGGGCUCGAUGAUGGGCGUCUGGGAUGCCGGGGUUUCAUGAGUCGCCGGUCGAAGCUGACCGGAGCAGUGAUGGCUGAACGGCUGAGGAAGAAGAAGCCGGCCGAUUUUUGGGAGGGCCGAUCGAACGCUGAGUUUGAAAAGGGGCGAGCAGCUCCUUGAGAGAGAGAAAAGAGAGAGAAAGGCGUGAAUUGUUUUGAGAAAGAGAGAGAGUCCGAUAGUUUGUGAGAGAAAGAGAGAGAGUUGGGCUUUAAAAUUUUAAUUGUUUGGGCUUUCCUCUACUUUUAUGUGGGCCGAAUUUUGAGCUUGUUUUUUUAAAUUGGGCUUCCAAUUUUAAUUGUUUUGGGCCUCACCUUUUAAUUAUUUUGGGCCAAAGACUUUUAAGUUCGGGCUUGAUUUUAAUUGCUUGGGCUUUCACAGUUAAAUUCGAAUUGGGCCAGUCUUUUAUUUAAUUGGCCAUUCUCAUUAAUUCUAUUGGGCUCGAUUUAAUUAAGGAGUUGGGCUGAUGCAUAUUUUAUGAUGGGCUAUUAUUCUAGUCCCAUUUAUAUUUCGUUGGGCCAGUUUAAUUCAUCAUUUUGGCCGAUUAAAUUGCCUUAUUGGACUAAGAUUAAUUCUUUUCAGUCCACAUUAAUUAUUAUUUGGACCCCUAUUUUAAUUGUUUUGGGUCGAAGACUUUUUAAGUUGGGCUUUAAUUCUUUUAAAGCUUGAGUUGAAGUUACUCCUUUGAGCUAAGCCUAGCAGUAUCAAUUUUUGAUGGAGCCCAAUUAUUUAUCAGUAAGUGGGCCGAUUCUUAUUCAGUAAAUGAGCCGCCCAGUUUAUUAAUUAUUGUUUUUGGACUUCAGACUUUAAAGCGAGCUAUCAUUGUUUAUUUCUUUAAAGCCACUGGUUUAUUUAAUUAAUUGGCUACUCUCUUUUGAGCCUAUUAAUUAUUUGAGGUUACGCUAGUAAUGAUGUUUCUAUCGAAAAGCCCGAUAAUUUCUACAAGGUCACACCUCGUUUAAAGCCGAGUUAGUUCUUUUUUUUCAAUCAAGUACAAAGGCGAGGUUUAUUUCACAACUAGAAUAUUACGAUGAGGAAGGAAGAAUCACAGCUUUAUUCGACCGCGUUAUACGAGAAUUAGUUAAAUCUAUUAACGAGGAUUAAUAGUAGAAUUCCCGAUUAUCGCUCAGAAGAUUAGUUCAUGCAUACAAGAUUCAUGCAUAGUUACAAUUAUGUUUUCUCAUUAAUUAAGAAUUUUCCUCGAGGCAAUGUCUUAUUUAUAUUCUCGUGAUUAAGGUCAAGCGCGAGAGUAAGAACUACACAAGGAGUUAGAGUACCUUAGCAAAACUUUGCUAUCAGGUGGGCAAUUUCUUACGCGUAAAUAAAAUGCUAUACCAGUGUUAUGCUUUAAAAUGCAAAUUGGAUCUUCAAGUGUGGUAUGCUUUAUUACACUUACAUGAGUUAAGCUUUAUUAUGCUACACGUUAAAUGAAUUACGCUAUGUUGUUUAUACUAUUUACGUCCUAUGUAAUUUACGCUUGAUUACGCUUAUUUACGCUUGAAUGCUUUACGCUGAUAAGUUUAUGCCUGUGAUUGAUGCUUGCGUCUGUUGGGGGAGGCCUCCCUCAAUAGUACGAUGCCGUGUCCGCUGAGGAGGGCCUUCCUCACGGCGCGAUGCCCGUGUCCGCUGAGAGAGGCCUCUCUCGCGGCGCGAUGCCAGUAUGCCAGUGUUACAGCGUCUAUUGGGGGAGGCCUCCCUCAAUAGUACGAUGCCGUGACCGCUGAGGGAGGCCCCCUCUCACGGUGCGAUGCCCGUGUUCGUUGGGGAAGGCCUUCUCCACGACACGAUGCUUGUUUAUGAUUGUUAAUGAUGAAGAAUGCGCUCAUGCUGUUUAUGAAUUUGGAAAUGUUUAAUGAGCAAAGGAUUUGAAAGAAACUUAUGCCUCUUAUGCGAAGUUGUGUUUUGUUGUUGAUAUUAUGUUAUAUGCUUGGCACUGCCCACUGAGUACUCUUGUACUCAGCCCUUCGUAUGUUUAUGUUUGUGCAGGUUGAGCUGUGAUGGGCGAUGAAGUGUUGCUGAGUGGAGUUUUUGUCGAACUUAAAGUAGGCUCAGAAAGGAUACAUGUCUUCAUACAUGUAUCUCAGUUAUGCAUUCCGCUGUAAACACUGAUUAUUUCAGUUACGCCUUCCGUUGCAAACUCUGAUAAUGUUUUAGCCAAGCCCUAACGAUGCCUUUUUCCUUUUAAGGAAUAUAACGCGUAUACAAGUUCUUUGAGUACCC